GUGGAUGAUGUGGAUUAAUUCGAUGCAACGCGAAGAACCUUACCUACCCUUGACAUGUCCGGAACUUGCCAGAGAUGGCUUGGUGCCCGAAAGGGAAUCGGAACACAAGUGCUGCAUGGCUGUCGUCAGCUCGUGUCGUGAGAUGUUGGGUUAAGUCCCGCAACGAGCGCAACCCUUAUCAUUAGUUGCUACGCAAGGGCACUCUAAUGAGACUGCCGGUGACAAACCGGAGGAAGGUGGGGAUGACGUCAAGUCCUCAUGGCCCUUAUGGGUAGGGCUUCACACGUCAUACAAUGGUCGGUACAGAGGGUUGCCAAGCCGCGAGGCGGAGCCAAUCCCACAAAGCCGAUCGUAGUCCGGAUUGUUCUCUGCAACUCGAGAGCAUGAAGUCGGAAUCGCUAGUAAUCGCAGGUCAGCAUACUGCGGUGAAUACGUUCCCGGGUCUU
rnacentral:rRNA from 1 species